GAGCGUUCCUAUAAAAAAUCUAGAGUGAGCUGGCCUCUAUAAAAAUUAAAAUUAGCACCAGUAUUUAAUUGUCUGUUAGAUGUUAAUUUUCAUUAAGCUUAAGGUUCUACGGAAAAAGGCGAAAUUCGCCCCUAAAGGCUUCAAUGUCUGAAUGAAAAAAGGCACUAUGGUAAAGAGGUAGUUGAAAAAUGGGAGGGAGCUGGCCUCUACAAGUUGUUGAUUGAGAUAGAUUAGCGUAUUGACUUUCGAUUGAUAUACCUCAUUAAGCAUAUGGUUUUACGGAAAAUGGCUAAAUUUGUCGAAAACUAUCUCGUUUUUGUUAUAAACCGUAUAUUAGAAAUGGCGACGUGCGCCACUUCCGUCGCCGACGCCAUUUGGACGCCAUGUUGCCCGAGAUUUGAGCGCUUGUACGCCUUGGCUUCUAAAUUUCAAGAUGAAUAUUGACGGCAGAAGACGGCGUUGUGCAUAUGGGGGGCACGCACUGAUUUCAAGUGAGUCGGAAGUGCCAAAAUUGAACAAGAUUGGUUCCAAGUACGUUUCGAAGUCCGUCAUUCAGGCCCUGGGAAUGGGUGACCCUGGCAAGCUUGCUGGACGAUACCUGUGUCAUAAGUGUAUUUCCUAUGGCAGGUCGCAGAUGAAAAUUGUUCAGGAGAGCCAGCGCCAUUCCGGAUCUGAAAAUGCUCUGCAUGUCAGCAUUGUCUGGAGAUUGCAAUAUCCUAAUCAAUCACUACCCUCUAAUGACCAACGGGUAUAUGCUCAGCACAUCAUCAUAUCACCGUUCCACACACCAUCACAUUACAAACAUCAUCACGCACCAAUUAGUAUGCGUUUCUGCUCUGAAAUGGGUACAUUUCAAUGCUGUUCACAACCAUUAAAUCACAUGUUCAAUCCACUCCUGUUCGUCUCCUCAGUCACCCGGAGACCUUGACCUACUCCUGGUCCUCUACGCCCGCCAGCGCCGCUUCGUCUGCGGUGCC